GUAAUUUUAACGGUGCUGUGUUACCAAGAUAUCCUUGGCUUCAAGUCAGGCCCUUCGGCAGCUACUGGGUCUGAGACACUCUCUGCUGUUUGAAGCGUACUGUCUCCAUGUUAUGGACAAUACCCUGCAGCUCUAGCAAUGCCAAGUCUCGAGAAUGCCUCCUGGUUUCUACUUUAUCUACUAUCCCUGGUGUAAGAAAGUGUCAACCUCAACAUCACCGCACAAAGUAGAGGCGAUGCGAACGUGACAUCCUUGCUGCCCUGGAGGGUUACCUUUGCUUUUCAGAAGCAUGUACAGCCUUUCCCUAUGCUCACAGGUCGCACCAAAACAGGCAGUGAACCAGAUUUGGCCCUCAGCCUGCAGACACCUCGGGGGAGCCCAAGAGGGGGACGUGGAGAGCAGCGCUCAGCAGGGCUGAAAGGCCUGAAAAGAUGAAGACUAAAUAUGACGCAGUGCUGAGGGUCUGAGACACUGACGGAUGAAAGAGAAACUCAGGAGCUCGCCUUCUUCCUGCAAUAGAUGCUGCAGAUUGAAACGGCCAUUUUGCAAACUAACAAAAGCUACACAAACCUGAGGCAUUCUAUUACAGUUGUCUGUGAUCUUAUCAGAUGUUAAUUUGGGGGCCAGAGAAAAGAGUAUCUAAGUUACCUAACCUGCAUGUAAGAAAAA
rnacentral:lncRNA from 1 species